rnacentral:rRNA from 1 species
CUGCUGCCUUCCGUAGGAGUCUGGGCCGUGUCUCAGUCCCAGUGUGGCCGUCCACCCUCUCAGGCCGGCUGCUGAUCGUCGCUUUGGUGGGCCGUUACCCCGCCAACUGGCUAAUCAGACGCGGGCCCAUCCUGUACCACCGGAGUUUUCAAAGGAUGACCAUGCGGUAUUCCCUAUUAUGCGGUAUUAGCACCUAUUUCUAAGUGUUAUCCCCCGGUACAGGGCAGGUUGCCCACGCGUUACUCACCCGUCCGCCACUAAGA